rnacentral:rRNA from 1 species
UGUCAAAUUGUGAAGAGCAAAUGGUGGAUGCCUUGGCAUCUGGAGCCGAUGAAGGACGUAGUAAUCUGCGAUAAGCCUCGGGGAGUCGAUAAACGGGCGUUGAUCCGAGGGUGUCCGAAUGGGGAAACCCGGCCGCAUUGUGUGUGGUCACUCGCAUCUGAAUAUAUAGGGUGUUGAGGGGGAACGUGGGGAAGUGAAACAUCUCAGUACCCACAGGAAGAGAAAACAAUAGUGAUUCCGUGAGUAGUGGCGAGCGAAAGUGGAUGAGGCUAAACCGGUUGUGUGUGAGAGCUGCUAGGUGUUGCAUGAUCGGGGUUGUUGGGGUUGUGUUGUGGUCGUGCUAGUGGACGGCCGGCGUUGGUGUGCAGUGUAGGUGAACAGGUUUGAAUGCCUGACCGUAGGGGGUGCGAGUCCCGUAGCCGAAACAGUGUGCGCGCGUUAAAUGUUUCUCCCAAGUAGCACGGAGCCCGUGAAACUCUGUGUGAAUCUGUCGGGACCACCCGAUAAGCCUAAAUACUCCCAGAUGACCGAUAGCGGACAAGUACCGUGAGGGAAAGGUGAAAAGUACCCCGGGAGGGGAGUGAAAUAGUGCCUGAAACCGUUUGCUUACAAUCCGUCGGAGCCUCCAUGUUGGGGUGACGGCGUGCCUUUUGAAGAAUGAGCCUGCGAGUUAGUGAUGUGUGGCGAGGUUAACCCGUGUGGGGGAGCCGUAGCGAAAGCGAGUCUUAAUUGGGCGUUGAGUCGCAUGUUCUAGACCCGAAGCGAAGUGAUCUAGCCAUGGCCAGGUUGAAGCGACAGUAAAGUGUUGUGGAGGACCGAACCCACCUAGGUUGAAAACUGGGGGGAUGAGCUGUGGUUAGGGGUGAAAGGCCAAUCAAACUUCGUGAUAGCUGGUUCUCUCCGAAAUGCAUUUAGGUGCAGCGUUGCGUGUUUCUUACUGGAGGUAGAGCUACUGGAUGGCCGAUGGGCCCGACAAGGUUACUGACGUCAGCCAAACUCCGAAUGCCGGUAAGUGAGAGCGUGGCAGUGAGACGGUGGGGGAUAAGCUUCAUCGUCGAGAGGGAAACAACCCAGACCAUCGAUUAAGGUCCCUAAGCGUGUGCUAAGUGGAAAAGGAUGUGGAGUUGCGAAGACAACCAGGAGGUUGGCUUAGAAGCAGCCAUCCUUGAAAGAGUGCGUAAUAGCUCACUGGUCAAGUGAUUCCGCGCCGACAAUGUAGCGGGGCUCAAGCACACCACCGAAAUCAUGGACCUCCACAGUGUGGGGGUGGUAGGAGAGCGUCGUGUUGUGGGUGAAGCGGCAGUGUGAACUGGUCGUGGACGUGACACGAGUGAGAAUGCAGGCAUGAGUAGCGAAAGACUGGUGAGAAACCAGUCCUCCGAAUGACUAAGGGUUCCAGGGUCAAGCUAAUCUGCCCUGGGUUAGUCGGGUCCUAAGGCGAGGCCGACAGGCGUAGUCGAUGGAUAACGGGUUGAUAUUCCCGUACCGGUGAUAUGACCGUCCAAUGCGAUCUGGUGAUGCUAAGGUGCUGAGUUCUGGUGCUGGCCUUCGGGUUGGUGUUGGGGCGAGGUUCCGGACCGAGCCGGGGAGUGUAGCGUGUUAACAGGUGUGACGCAGGAAGGUAGCCGAGCCGGGUGAAUGGUUGUAUCCGGGCAAGGAUGUAGGACGAGUGGUUGGCAAAUCCGCCGCUUGAGUGUCUGAGAUCUGAUGCGGAAGUCCUUUUGGACGUAGUCGGUGAUCCUAUGCUGCCAAGAAAAGCAUCGGCGUGAGGUUGUGUUGCUGCCCGUACCCGAAACCGACACAGGUGGUCAGGUAGAGAAUACUAAGGAGAUCGAGAGAAUCGUGGUGAAGGAACUCGGCAAAAUGCCCCCGUAACUUCGGGAGAAGGGGGGCCAUCCACUUGUACCACUUUGCGUGGGAGAGGGUGUGGUGGCCGCAGAGACCAGUGGGACUCGACUGUUUAUCAAAAACACAGGUCCGUGCGAAGUCGCAAGACGAUGUAUACGGACUGACGCCUGCCCGGUGCUGGAAGGUUAAGAGGACGUGUUAGCUCUUCGGGGCGAAGCAUUGAAUUUAAGCCCCAGUAAACGGCGGUGGUAACUAUAACCAUCCUAAGGUAGCGAAAUUCCUUGUCGGGUAAGUUCCGACCUGCACGAAUGGCGUAACGAAUUCCCAGCUGUCUCCACCGCGAACUCGGCGAAAUUGCAGUACGAGUAAAGAUGCUCGUUACGCGCAGCAGGACGAAAAGACCCCGUGACCUUUACUAUAGCUUGGUAUUGGUGACUGGUGUGGCUUGUGUAGGAUAGGUGGGAGACUGUGAAGCAUGGACGCUAGUUCGUGUGGAGUCGUUGUUGAAAUACCACUCUGGUCAUUCUAGUUAUCUAACUUCGGACCGUGAUCCGGUUCAGGGACAGUGCCUGGUGGGUAGUUUAACUGGGGCGGUUGCCUCCUAAAGAGUAACGGAGGCGCCCAAAGGUUCCCUCAGCCUGGUUGGUAAUCAGGUGGCGAGUGUAAGUGCACAAGGGAGCUUGACUGUGACACUGACAGGUGGAGCAGGGACGAAAGUCGGGACUAGUGAUCCGGCAGUGGCUUGUGGAAGCGCUGUCGCUCAACGGAUAAAAGGUACCUCGGGGAUAACAGGCUGAUCUUGCCCAAGAGUCCAUAUCGACGGCAUGGUUUGGCACCUCGAUGUCGGCUCGUCGCAUCCUGGGGCUGGAGUAGGUCCCAAGGGUUGGGCUGUUCGCCCAUUAAAGCGGUACGCGAGCUGGGUUCAGAACGUCGUGAGACAGUUCGGUCUCUAUCCGCUGCGCGCGUUGGAAGUUUGAGGAGAUCUUUCUUUAGUACGAGAGGACCGAGAAGGACGAACCUCUGGUGUGUCAGUUGUUCUGCCAAGGGCAUGGCUGAUUUGCUACGUUCGGGAUGGAUAACCGCUGAAAGCAUCUAAGCGGGAAGCCGGCUUCGAGAUGAGACUUCCUUCCCCUUUUGGGGGUGAGGUUCCCAGUAGAUGACUGGGUUGAUAGGCCGGAUGUGGAAGCGCGGUAACGUGUGGAGCUGACCGGUACUAAUAGACCGAAGAUUUGUUAUG